UAACGGAACCCAUAAUGCAGCUGUUUGGUUGAUUGAUUGACAGCUGUCUGUGGAUUCCGUGCCC
rfam:Danio rerio chromosome 8, GRCz11 reference primary assembly.